CGUGUAGGCGGAUGGGGACGUCGGAUACUGAAAGCCCCCGGCUCAACCGGGGAAGUGGUUCCGAAACGACCUGUCUGGAGGGACGUAGGGGGAUCUGGAACUUCCGGUGGAGCGGUGAAAUGCGUUGAGAUCGGAAGGAACGCCCGUGGCGAAAGCGAGGUCCUGGACGUCUGCUGACGCUGAGACGCGAAAGCUAGGGGAGCAAACGGGAUUAGAUACCCCGGUAGUCCUAGCCGUAAACGAUGGGCACUGGGUAGGGGGCUCGCCGAUGGGCUCUCUGCCGUAGCGAAAGCGUGAAGUGCCCCGCCUGGGGAGUAUGGUCGCAAGGCUGAA
rnacentral:rRNA from 1 species